rnacentral:rRNA from 1 species
AUGGGCUCCCAGUGGUCAUCUGGCCGACUGAGUGUGAAGAACAUGCACUCUGUCACUAGCAACCGUCCGAUCCGAAUCCUUCUUCUCAGCGGCUUGGCGGAGGCGGUGGAGGAUCUGCGGCCGGUGCUCGCCGUUCAUGGUUUCAUGAUGUUUGUGGCAUGGGGACUGCUGCUUCCAGGAGGAAUCGUCGCAGCACGGUACCUGAAGCAUGUGAAAGGGGAUCUCUGGUUCCAGGCUCAGACAUAUCUUCAGUACUCAGGCCUAGCUGUCAUGUUCAUGGGGGUUCUCUUUGCUGUGGCCGAGCUCCGGGGUUUCUCUUUCAAAUCCACACAUGCUAAAGUCGGCGCGAUAGCAUUUACAUUCACUUGUAUGCAGCCGGUAAAUGCUUAUCUCCGACCACACCAAGCGGAGAAUGGAGAAAUUUUAUCAAGAAACAGGAUCACCUGGGAAUAUCUACAUACCUACACCGGGAGGACUGCUCUGGUAGCCGCUGUCACGGCACUCUUCACCGGGUUGCAGCAUCUUGGGCACAGGUACGGCAGCAAGACGAUCAAGGGACUUACAUGUGGAUUGGUUGUAUGGGUUGUGAGUGCUGUAUUGGUGGUGGCUUACCUCGAGUACAUGAAGGUUAAGCGAAGAAGAGAUGGCGCCGAUGGCCUCAUGCACAAAUUUGUGCUCGGCAACACUGAGGAAGACGAUUCAGUUGAUCUUCUGCAGUCCGAUAGGUUCGACAGUAAAAUGGACUCAGGUUCGCCUGGAUCGAUGGAAGUGCAGCUUGAGCCACUCAAAGGAUGA